GCGGCGCACUGACCUCGCCGCCGUGCUUCGCCUCCGCCCCGGGCCAGGCGCCCGGCCCUUGCCUGUGUCGUGGCCGCCGGCCACCUGCGGGAGCUCCCGGGCUCGGGUGUCACCUGCUCACCCCGGGCGGGUGCUGCUCUGGGCUCCGCUGGGUCGACGGGCGGGCGGCUUCUUUGGGGGUGCCUGAUGCCCCCUGACCUCUCCCGGUUCAUUGUCCCAGGGGGCGGCACCAUCUCCUUCCCCUAGGAGCUCAGGGCCCCGGCUCCGAGUUUCCCAUUGUCUGUCCCUACACUAAGUGUCUUCGUCCCGCCAGGGCUGGAUGCCCGGGCAGGCGGACACCUGAUUCCCUUGGGUAUGGAGUUGGGGCGCCAGGCGUCGUGGUGGGGAGCGAGUGGGGGCUCAGACCGGCCGCAAGGACUGGGAGACUGGGAGGGAGGUCCUAGGUUAUCAGGUUUACCUGGAGUGGGGGGAUAUGAGCAAAUUAGUUAUUAAUUAUGCUGUUCCAAAGCUGGUGAAGGUGUGCAUGCCUUCCCCUAGCCCUCCCCGAGGACGCGGAGCAGAAGUUCCCAGGGCAGCCUUGCAGGGGGCCCUCCUUCCCCCAGCUGAGGCUCCCUGCUUGAAGGCAAGAUUGGGACCCCCCCAAACAACUGUAUCCCGCCCUCCCAAACACACACACACACACUCUCUGUCUCCCUCUCCACGUUUUCUCUUGGAAGGAUUGUGAAGAUUGUGUGUGUGUAUGUGCGCGCGUGCUUGUGUGCGCGUGCGCGUGUUGGGGGCGGGGAACAACACCCUGGCUUUUUCCUGCAAAGGGUGGGACUGGGGAUAACCUGAUCCUCAGAUGUGUAUUUUCUGGUGCACAGAGAUAGACCAGGGCCCUAUGUUACUCAUCCGAAAGGAAAUACAGCCAGCCGCACGAGCUGGCUGGAGUAAGAUUUUCAAAGCAAGGUGGAGUGGAAGACUAAAACAUGCUGUGGGUUCUGCAGAAUUUUAGACUUUUGGGGAGUCGUGAGAUCAAGAAAAAGGGAGUGUCUGAUUUCCAAGAUUGUUUAUACAUAAGACAUUUGCUGAAUAUUUUCAUGGAGUUUUCUUAAAAGACUUCUUCGUGGAUUAGAUGGCAGUGACUUUUUAAAAGGAAAUUUAAACAUUUUAAAAUUUGGGCAUCUGGGAUAAGCAGUGUAUAGUGUACAGAUGCAUUAAGUCAUUAGCUAUAAAGGUCAGUUUUUAAUAUCUGAAAUCAGCUGACUUUCUAAUGACCUGCUUAUAUCCUCUUUUUCUCUUCUUUAAACUCUCAAAUAAUACCUUUGGUCCCCUUUCUCUGUGCUUUAGGGAGAAGCAUAAAUGUUGGAAACCCAUUUGGAAUGCCAUCUUGAUAACAUUUUUAAGUUAUUUUCUCAGAUGUAAUAUUAGACUGGGGUGAGAAAAGGGUAAGGAAAAUGGUUUUAUUAGUAACAUUUGAUUUUCCAAGGCAACACAGGAAGGGAGUCAGUUUCCUCUUUGGAGAAAAAAGGAAAACGACAAAAAAUGGAGUAAUUUCAAGGCCUGGCAUCAUCCAUCUUCUGAAACCCCCAAAUCUCAAGAUAUAGAAAAGCUAGAGAGGAUUCUUUUUGCUUUCUUCUAAGAUAUUUCGUCCGGCUAAGUCCUCGACUGGCUGUCGGGGUGUGUGUUUUAUUCCAGGGGGUAGGGUGUGGAAGAAAGCCUGACUUUUCUUCCAUUGGGAUCUAGCACUGCGUAAAGCAAGCAGCAGCUGUUAAAUAACUUAUUGAUUCUUUGACUAGAGGAAACCUGGUGGUUUUCCCCUUUAUUCCGCCCUGCUGUGGUGGUGGUCACUAAUGAAUGGUGGUGUGCAAAAUCGCUUACUGGCUGUCUUUCCUUCCAUCCACAUAAAUCACCCAUCAAGUCGUCUGGUGUGAGUUGGCCCCAAAGGAAAGGGGAGACAAGAUAUUCGUGUGGCUGGCGGGAAGGGCCGAAUAGCUGAUUUGUCUGGGGGAACAGUAGUCUGGAAGUGACUGUUGACUGCCUUGUGAUGUGUAGACAAUGCUGACUGCUUUCAGGAGGUCCUGGAAUCUUUUUGUAGUUUCUAUCCCACGUCCUGGCAAGGGUGGGCUAUACACUGCAAACAGAUUUGUGCCUUUGCUCUUCAGGAAUGGAACUGGCAUAGAAUUCAGUGAUGUUUGAGGAGUUUUUAAGACUAGGAGACUUUGCUGGCCAAACUUGAGGGCAGCUCACCUUGUGGAUGACUUUCUUCUUUUAAUAUUUAACUUGACUUGGAAAAAAAAAAACAGUUGGAUGCUAAAAUCAAAUAUUUUCCUCACCCUUGUUGCUCAAGAAUCAGCAUGUCAGGAGCUGAACUGCUGAAUUGGGCCUGCUGCAGGGAGAACUUUGUACCAGGGUAGGAGAGUGUGUUCAGGGUUCUGCGAUGUGACGGUGUAAAAACCCCCAGCCACACCUGAUUCCUCCACCCACGGGUCACGUUAGACAGGGGUGUCCUGUUACCAGCACCUGUGUGCAGCAGAAUAGGAGCCUUGUUUGGUUCCUCCCCGCCACCCCCGUCCCUGUUUGCCACCACUGUCCUCUCUUCUCAGUCCUGCCUAAAAUUAGAACUGCUAAAGGGACUUCUUGCAUUCCAUGGAAAUCUUUCUGCGGUGCGGCCUGUCGUGAUAUUUUCCCUUGCUUAUCAUAAGAUCAAGAAUGUGGGUAGUGGGUCCAGCGCCGGAUAAUGAUUUCAGGGUUGUUUUUGUCCCUUCACUGCUUUGGGAUUCCCGUCAGAGGGAGGUGCACUUCCUUGCUGUUUAUGGGGGACCUGCAGUGUGGAAGGCCUUUUGCUAGGCCCUGCCCUUGGAGAGCUCCUUGUCCUGUGGGCUGUAAACAGAUAAUGUCUAUAGAAUAUGGUGGCCUUGAAGGAAUGGCUUGUAAUCCAGCCUGGGGAAGAGCGUCAGUCUUUACAGGACUUCCCUUUGACGCUUCAAAAAAAAAAAAAAAGUUUUCUCUAGGAAGAUACUGAAAACCCAGCCAAGGCCUCAGCCAGGUGCUCUGAGGGAGGUGGGCCACGCUCUGUAAAGAUGACAACCACACAAAGGCAGGACUAGCAGAGCCCUUGUAAAGGACAGAUGGCCCCCAUGUUGGCUUUUCUCUUAGCAAAUGGUUGUAUUUGGCUAGGAUUUUUACAGCUUCCUCAUUUUGGGCCCCUGGGAGAAGAAGGCAAAGUAAAGAUGUCGUAAAAUUGACAGCAGGAACUGGCUGGAAUGGGUGCCUGCUCAGAGAUUUAGGGCCUCGUCUGUGUAGGUCAAUCUUUUUGGUUUCUUAGGUGCAAAUCUUUGUUGUCAUGGUUUGGAAAGAUGUCAUUUUUGGUCUUGGCUUGAGCGUUUCUAUGGGGAAAACCCCUUAUACAUCCUAUUUAAUCAAAGAGGGGUGGGGAACCUGCGGCCUCAAGGCCACAUGUAGCCCUGCAGAUCCCCAAGUGCGGCCCCUCGACCAAUCCAAACCUCACAGAACAAAUCCCUUUAUUGAAAGGAUUUGUUCUGUAAAAUUUGGAUUCAGUCAAAAGGCCGCACUCAAGGAUCCAGAAGGCCACAUGGGGCCCCAAGGCCCUUAGAACUUGUUGCCUGAUGCAGUGAACCUUUAUGUUCCGAAACUCCCCAGUUUGUAAUGCCCCAGAGGGAGAGAGGGGGUCACUCCUAGGUCCUGGUGCUCAUGGAAGGUAAGCUGAGCUUGGAUUUUGCCUGGGUCAGCGAUCACCCAGUUCUUAUUGGCAUCACAGUAUUUAUUGAGCAUCAGCUGUGUUGCAGGCACCAAAGUCAGUGUUACUAUUGCAGUAAGUAAAAACACAGAAUUUCCUGUUAAACGUGAAUUUUGGAUAAAUAGUGAACAAUUUUUUAGCAUAAGUAUAUUCCAUGCAUGAUGUGUGUUCUCAGCAGCUGACUUCUUGCCCUUUGAACUCUUCUUUUGCAUCUUGGUCAUGGGGAAAAGGAAAAAGCUAAAAUGAUAUCUGUCAAUUUGGCUAGCUCACUUGAGGUUAUUGAAAUGCUUAGAAGGGUGGAAAGGUUGAAAUUAUUGAUCCGUUAGAUGCUUUAUCUGCAAUUUUCAUCUAGACUUUUUCCCAUCUUCACAGGGUGGGUGAGAGCUGGCAAGAUUCCUUCUCCUGUAGUGAGACCAUUUAGAUGUUCAAACUAGGUAUGGAAAAGUGAGGUCAUUAGAGUUCCCCAGUACUUCUUGGAACUGCCUUCGGGCCCUUUCCCCCCAAACCCACACCUCUAUAAAAACAAACAAUUACCUCUCCCCAAACCAAACCAAAGCCAAAGGACAGAUUUAGCUGUGGAGGACAUCAGACAAUAAGUAUUUGAGGCCUCUUAAAGGGAACGGACUGAUGCCUUAACAGUUUAACUCAGAUUUGCAGAUUGCACUGCUGAUAUGGCCUUAUUAAGUAGCAAAUGGGAGAGACAAACUGGAAUAAAUUAAUUGGCUGAGCAUUAAGGAAGCCCGUUGUAUUUCAUUGCCGAGGUUCUCCCUUGACUUAGCUGGAGACUGCAGAAAGUUUCAUCUGAGUAUGUUACACGAAAACAAAUCAAAAUGACCACAAAAAUUAAAAAGCUGUUUUCAGUGCAGAAUCCAUUCCAGAGCAGCCCACCUCCCAGUGCUUGGAAGGCCUUGGCAUGCAACUCUCUUCAUCUUGGCUGCUUCCUGAUUUAGUUGGAGGUGGCUGUGUUUUUACCUGCUGAACAAAUGUGAGGGUUUUGGUUGUUUAAGAUGUUCAUAGUAGGUGCUUAGUGUGCAUUGCAUGCCAUGAGCAGGGGGCAGAAAGGACUUGUGGGGGCCUACCGUGUGACAGGCAAUGUGCUAAGUAAUUGGUGUGCAUGAUGUCAUGUCUUCUUCACAUCUACCCACUUAACAGAUGAAAAGACUGAGGCUUAGAGGGAUUCAGUAACUUAUCUGAGGCCACGGAGAGGCGGAGCCUGUUUGGCCCUGAGGCUGGAGUUCUGUAUGUAGAGCAUCCCUAAGUAAGGGAGAGGGGGUGUAAGCUUGAACUGAGAUGCUGCGAGGCCUCUUGUGGGGUGGGUGGCUCCAGUCUGGCUGUCAUAUUUGUGGAAAUCAUUUCAUUUAUGAUAUAUUUACAUAGCGUGGCUUCCUUCCCUCUCCCACUUACUAAGUCUUCUCCAAUGGCAACCUGGCAUCACCCCCUUUCCUCUCGUUCCCCUGGGUGUGCAGAAGGCACAGAAGCUUUGGGGCCAGGCUCAGGCUAGUCACCUUCAGUGCCUGUACUUGUCCCCACACAAAGUACAUAGAGUCUUCUCAGUGACUGGCCAUAGAUCUCGGGAAUCUGUUGGUCCCUGAGGUUGGGCGACUCUGCAAACCUGGCAACCCCCUCCUACUCCCAUAAUCAUCUGAAUUAACUAAGUUCACCCAGAGUUCAAGGGACUCCUGCAAGAGAACUCCUUACCUUGAACUCGCUUUGUGUCCAGCCCUGGCCCUCUCUUGUAAAAGAGCUUUCUGUAUUUAAUCACGUCCCAGUAGCCCUCCCGUUUGGGCCGAGUUGGUAGAGCCAUUACAAGUCUUGUGUUUGGAGCAGCUGGUGGGCUCGCCAAGAAAAAUCCUUCCUGUGCCGAUUCUUGGCAUCUACAGCUUUGGUCAUAGUUUCUAAGUGGUUUUUCUUUUCCUGUCUAGUUUAAGUGGAGUGAAAAAAAAAAAUCAGUUGAGUGCCUUUUGAGCCGUGUGUUUUUGUUUGCUUUCUCUCUCUCAAAGAACUGGAUGGCAGAAGUUUCACCUCCUUCAGCAUCUGCAGCCUCCUGAGCACUGGCGGGCAGAAGGGGAGCAGAUUUUCCCUGUGUCUCCCUCCUCUGCCACCUCCUGCACAACAGGAACCCCAGGGCCUGCAGGAGUGGGUCUUGCCAGAAGAGGAGGUUCUGGGCAGGUGUACCUCUUUCGGCAGAAUGGGCAUGGUUACAGGGAAGGGCCCUUUGGGUUCCCUGGGAGCUGGAAGAUGCUCAUGCCUGUGCCCCAUUCCCCAGACCCCUCAUUCAGUGCUCUGGGUGCAUCCUGGGCCCUAGGAUUUUGAAAAGCAGCCCAGGUAAUUCUAGUGUCUAUCCAGGGUGGAGAACCACUGAGCUAGUAUAAGGCCUCCCCUUGCACAAUUUCAGCCCCUCAAAGUGUUUUCUCAAUCUUACCUAAGUCUGAAUAGGAGCACCUUUGGAUAGUUGCACAACAAGGUGAAUAUACUUAACACUACUGAACUCUGUGCUUAAUGAUGGGCAAGAUGGUAAAUUUUAGUUAUGUGUAUUUUAGUACAAUUGAAAAGAAAAAUUAUAGAAACUUUGAGUUAAAUGUUAAGGUACAUAAAUUGAAAUAGAAAAAUAAACAAUAACAAAUUGAAAUAGAAAAAUAAACAAAAAUAAACAACAAAUAAACAACAUCUUCAGAAUAUUUUGCUGUGUUUUGUUGAUCUAUAAUUGUUCUGUCCAAUACAGUUUUCUGCAGUGAUGGAAAUUGUCAAAUACAUGAGCCAGUAGCCACCUGUGACUGUUGAGGACAUUAAGUGUGGCUAGUGGAACUGAAUUUUUAACUUUAUUUUUAAUUUGUUUAAAUUUAAAUAGCCAUAUAUGGGUGGUGUCUAUGAUAUCGAAUGGUACAGAUCUAUAACUUGUAAGUAAAUAAAAAUCGUAUGCUUGCUUUGUAAUGCAGCUUCCUGCCUAUCCUUCCUUCCUCUACAUCUUGCUGGCCACAACACUGCCCCUAAACUGCUGCCAUAGAAAUUCUGGAGCUACUGCUGAUCUAGGAGUCAAAGGGAUCUGAUUUCAAAUCUGGUGGGCAAGUUACUUAGUCUCUCUUAACCUCAGUUUCCUCUUCUGUAAAAUGAGUCUAAUGAAUUACCCACCUUAUAGGGUCAUGAGGAUUCUGAAAUGAGAUAUCACAUAUGAAGGUUUUCACAUGGUGCCUGGCACACAUGCAGUCAGAUGUCAGCUACUGUUACAGUAUUACUCUGUCUUGUAGACUUGGGGAUGAAAUAUUUUUGAAGUCUUAAAAUCAGUGUAGUAAUUAUCGCCUCCAUUUCUCUUAGGGCAGACACUGCCCCACCCUUAAGGAGUAGUAUUUAGUGCUUGCAGUGAAGUAGCCGGAAAUGAACUUGAGUUUUUUUUUUUUUUCUUGCUAAACAAAUCACUCCUGAGUUAAUUGUGACAGUCAGUUUGUCCAACAAGGGCCUAUUUGCAUUCAAUUUCUCAAUUUGCAAAACCCUCUGUCUGUUUAUAGGGGUAGGGGAGGGUGGGGUGCCUCACAAGGGUCCUCAGGGCAUUUAUUUUAUCACUUUAGGAAAUAGAAAGUCUAUUUUAGAGAUGCUAAGGCCAGGGGAGGGGAGUUGCUUUUAUCAGGGCGAUCUUUUUUGUCUAGUUGUUUGAGUUUUCUUCUUUUUCUGGGGUGACUUCACUUGCCUCUAGCCUGCCCGGUAGUAGCAGCUGUGUACUGAACCUCUGCCCCUUCCCAAGACUUGGCUGUGUGUGGGUUCUGCCUGUCUGCAGACCGUGGCCCUCCUGCCUUAGCUUGGUGUUUGAGGACCCCCGCGAUUUGGCCCCAGCUGCAUGGCCUGCUAUGUGCCCUGUCUUUCCCAGCUUGGGUUCCCUGCCUUCCUUGAACACGUCCUGUGCUCCUCACUCUUGCAGUGUGUCCGGCCCCUGCGAUUGCUGCCUGUUGAAAUCCUCAUCCUUCAAGGCCCCAUCAGAAAGUGACCUCAUUCUCUGGUCCCCCCUACUUCCUCCAACCUGGAAACUCUUAGGUCAUUUUUCACAUUCUUUGUUGAUUCUACCUGGUAUUUAUUACAUUCUCCCUUAAAAAGUGGUUGCCCUGGGGCUUCGAAGCCUGGCUCUGCCUCUUCCUAGCUCUAUUACUCUGGACAAGUCACUCAACUUUCCUGAGCCUCAGUUUUCUUAUCUGUUAAAUGGGGGAGGAGGUGAAUAAGACUUGCCACUUAAAGUUGUUGAAUAUUAAAUGAGAAAGUGUAUGUAAAGGGUUUAGCCUGAAAUAAGUGCUAAAUAAAUGCUCUGUGUGUCUGCCUCCACUGCCAUAGUAAUUCCUAACAGAGUACCCUGCCCGUAGUGGCACUGAGUUCCGGAUGUUUCAGAAAUAGGAGAAACCUGUGUCUUCACUUUAUAACACAAUAGACAAGAGUACAAUGCUUUUCAGCUUUCAACAUAUAAAUAAUUUGAGAGCACACAGAGUACAUGUAUUCAACAAAUAUGUUGCCUGGCGCUGCUUGCUGCGUGGUGGAGAUAUACCCAUGAACAAGAGAGACAUGGUCCUUGCCCUGAAUGCUCAAGCUAGAAGAGAGGCAGGCAAGUCAUCAGAAUUUAGUGAGAUCUGCACCAUGAUCGAAGUCAGCCUGAGAUUGUGGGGGCUCUGGGGAGAGCCUCUGAUUCCCAUUUGGUGAAGGAAGAGAGUUUGGGAAGACUUUUGGUCUAGGUGACACUCAAACCGAGAAGUGAGUUUUAAUUUACUUAUUUAACAAGCCUUGAUGUGACUACCAGAAACUAUGCUAAGUGCUUGACAAGUAAAGACUUACUUAAUUUCCCAGUGACCCAGUGAAGUAGUUACAGUAACUGUUAAUAUUAUAGUUCCCAUUUUACAGAUGGUGAAACUGAGGUGCAGAGGGGUUAAGCCACUUGCCCAUGUGGUACAACAAGGGACAGGCACAGCUGGGAGUUGAAUCUAGGCAGUCUGGCUUCAGGGUCUGUGUUCUUUUUCACCCUGCUGGGCUGUCUCUUACAGCGUAGCAUUUUCGAUUCUGUAAUGGUUAUAUUUCAUCAGUCUCUUUGAUUGUUCUGUCUGUACCAUUAGGACUCAGGGUGAGCCAGAUAAAACACACAAAAAUCUAGACUUGUCUCUGAGCCUCUUCCAGAAGCUCAAGGGGUCUCCCUCUAAUUAAAGAGGAAUAAGACCUGGCUGUUGACAUGAAGCUAUUGGGCAGUUGACUUACCCUGGCUGGUGCCUCUAACUUGUCAGCAGAGAGAACUAUGUGGGCAGCCUUGGGGUGGGGGGCGAGGCCACAGGAUCUGAUACAGCUGUCCAAGGUGGCAGCCACACACACAGCACACUUGUUUUGCUGGAGAAACCCCUCCGUCAAGGGUCGCCCCAGUAACGGCUCUGCACCCCACAUGACCCAGUGCAAAACAGGAAGGGGGGAGAUAUUUGCAGCAGGAGGCUGGAAAUGCUUGGGGAUUAGUUCCCAGGGAGACCUCACUUCUGAGGCCAGCUCCGUUCCUGCAGCUUCAGCGCACAGCCAUUAAGGAAGUCUUUGAGUUUGGUUUAAUGGUCCCUUUUUGUUUUGAAGUGACUGUUUACUGAACCUUCAAAGCCAACUCUUGCAGCAGGAUGUGAUCGAGGGCCUGAAUAAUUGGAUGAGGCACCCCUAUAGGAAGCAGGUAGAGGGGAGCAGAGCCAGGAGUAGCCCAUGGCCAAGUCCUCCGUCUGAGCUGCCUGAGGUGCUGCCGGGAGGGACUGAGGUCGCUUUGCAACCAGAAGUAGAGCUGGUGCAAGGGUCCCCUGGAACCUGGCCUCUUUGAUGUUAUCCUGGCCUUAAUUAGGAACACCCUAAUUAAGUCACAGAGGAGGCAGCUUUUUUUCUAAAAAAAAAAAAAAA